rnacentral:lncRNA from 1 species
CACCCGGCAUCCGGGGCACCUCGGCCGGUACGCCCUCCCCUUCUUCGCCAGCAGCGGCUCCCCCAGCGGGGUGGUUCCAUCGCCGUUGCCGCCGCCCAUCUCGCUCCGAGAGAUCCAAUCCAACCCAGACCAGCUCCCUCCGGCCGCGGCGAGGGACGUCGGCAGCGCCGCGCGGUGGAAUGGAAGGCGGCGGCGGCGGCGGCGGCGGCAGAGCGCACGCAGGCACGGGGACGGGAGUGGAGCAGAGGGAAGCGCCCGCGCUGC